GAUGAACGCUGGCGGCGUGCUUAACACAUGCAAGUCGAACGGUGAAGCCAAGCUUGCUUGGUGGAUCAGUGGCGAACGGGUGAGUAACACGUGAGCAACCUGCCCUGGACUCUGGGAUAAGCGCUGGAAACGGCGUCUAAUACUGGAUAUGAGCCCCUAUCGCAUGGUGGGGGUUGGAAAGAUUUUUUGGUCUGGGAUGGGCUCGCGGCCUAUCAGCUUGUUGGUGAGGUAAUGGCUCACCAAGGCGUCGACGGGUAGCCGGCCUGAGAGGGUGACCGGCCACACUGGGACUGAGACACGGCCCAGACUCCUACGGGAGGCAGCAGUGGGGAAUAUUGCACAAUGGGCGGAAGCCUGAUGCAGCAACGCCGCGUGAGGGAUGACGGCCUUCGGGUUGUAAACCUCUUUUAGCAGGGAAGAAGCGAGAGUGACGGUACCUGCAGAAAAAGCGCCGGCUAACUACGUGCCAGCCGCCGCCGUAAUAC
rnacentral:rRNA from 1 species